rnacentral:rRNA from 1 species
GAUGAACGCUGGCGGCGUGCCUAAUACAUGCAAGUCGAGCGAACAGACGAGGAGCUUGCUCCUCUGACGUUAGCGGCGGACGGGUGAGUAACACGUGGAUAACCUACCUCUAAGACUGGGAUAACUUCGGGAAACCGGAGCUGCUACCGGAUAAUAUAUUGAACCGCAUGGUUCAAUAGUGAAAGACGGUUUUGCUGUCACUUCUAGAUGGAUCCGCGCCGCAUUAGCUAGUUGGUAAGGUAACGGCUUACCAAGGCAACGAUGCGUAGCCGACCUGAGAGGGUGAUCGGCCACACUGGAACUGAGACACGGUCCAGACUCCGACGGGAGGCAGCAGUAGGGAAUCGUCCGCGAUGGGCGAAAGCCUGACGGAGCAACGCCGCGUGAGUGAUGAAGGGCUUCGGAUCGUAAAACUCUGUUAGUAGGGAAGAACAAAUGUGUAAGUAACGAUGCACGUCUUGGCGGUACCUAAUCAGAAAGCCACGGCUAACUACGUG